CCCUUAGAUGUCCUGGGCCGCACGCGCGCUACACUGAGUGUCUGAGAUACGAGUCUGCCUGGUCCGGCAAGGUCUAGGUAAUCGCUAAAAGACACAUCAUGCUUGGGAUAGAUUAUUGCAAAUAUUAAUCUCGAACGAGGAAUUCCUAGUAAGCGCAAGUCAACAGCUUGCGUUUAUUACGUCCCUGCCCUUUGUACACACCGCCCGUCGCUACUACUGAUUGGAUGUUUAAGCGAGGUUCUCGAACUGCUAGCGACUUAGCUUCGGUGAGGUCGCAGUGUGGGAAGUGAACCUAGCUUUGGUGUCUAGAGGAAGUAAAAGUCGUAACA
rnacentral:rRNA from 1 species